UACGACGGGGGCUAGCGUUGCUCGGAAUCACUGGGCGUAAAGGGUGCGUAGGCGGGUCCUUAAGUCAGGGGUGAAAUCCUGGAGCUCAACUCCAGAACUGCCUUUGAUACUGAAGAUCUUGAGUCCGGGAGAGGUGAGUGGAACUGCGAGUGUAGAGGUGAAAUUCGUAGAUAUUCGCAAGAACACCAGUGGCGAAGGCGGCUCACUGGCCCGGUACUGACGCUGAGGCACGAAAGCGUGGGGAGCAAACAGG
rnacentral:rRNA from 1 species